rnacentral:rRNA from 1 species
AACGAACGCUGGCGGCGUGCCUAACACAUGCAAGUCGUGCGAGAAAGUUCCUUCGGGAGCGAGUAAAGCGGCGCACGGGUGAGUAACACGUAGGUAACCUGCCCCCCAGUCUGGAACAACUAGAGGAAACUCUAGCUAAUGCCGGAUGAGACCACGAUCCCUUCGGGGGUUGCGGCCAAAGAUGGCCUCUACUUGUAAGCUAUCGCUGAGGGAUGGGCCUGCGGGCCAUUAGCUUGUUGGUGAGGUAACGGCUCACCAAGGCUGUGAUGGCUAGCUGGUCUGAGAGGAUGACCAGCCACACUGGGACUGAGACACGGCCCAGACUCCUACGGGAGGCAGCAGUGGGAAUAUUGCGCAAUGGGCGAAAGCCUGACGCAGCGACGCCGCGU